AUUGAACGCUGGCGGCAGGCUUAACACAUGCAAGUCGAGCGGAGAUGAGGUGCUUGCACCUUAUCUUAGCGGCGGACGGGUGAGUAAUGCUUAGGAAUCUGCCUAUUAGUGGGGGACAACAUUCCGAAAGGAAUGCUAAUACCGCAUACGUCCUACGGGAGAAAGCAGGGGAUCUUCGGACCUUGCGCUAAUAGAUGAGCCUAAGUCGGAUUAGCUAGUUGGUGGGGUAAAGGCCUACCAAGGCGACGACCUGUAGCGGGUCUGAGAGGAUGAUCCGCGACAGUGGGACUGAGACGCGGCCCAGACGCCUACGGGAGGAAGCAGUGGGGAAUAUUGGACAAUGGGGGGAACCCUGAUCCAGCCAUGCCGCGUGUGUGAAGAAGGCCUUAUGGUUGUAAAGCACUUUAAGCGAGGAGGAGGCUACUGAGACUAAUACUCUUGGAUAGUGGACGUUACUCGCAGAAUAAGCACCGGCUAACUCUGUGCCAGCCGCCGCCGUAAUAC
rnacentral:rRNA from 1 species